rnacentral:misc_RNA from 1 species
GCAGAAGGAUCAUUAGUGAAGAUUUGGGCAGGCCAUACGGACGCCAAGAAGUGUCCCUGGCCGCCUACACCCACUAUACAUCCACAAACCCGUGUGCACUGUCUUGGAGAAAGGCUUCAGAGAAGUUUUUUGUGGCCUCUCUUGGGGUCUUUCUUCGCUACAAACUCGAAUGGUUAGUAUGAACGUGGAACUUGGUUGGACCGUCACUGGCCAACAAACUAUACACAACUUUCGACAACGGAUCUCUUGGUUCUCCCA